rnacentral:rRNA from 1 species
GGGUUUGAUCCUGGCUCAGAACGAACGCUGGCGGCGUGUUUUGACAUGCAAGUCGAACGAGACCUUCGGGUCUAGUGGCGAACGGCAGAGUAACGCAUAGAUAACCUAUCCCGGAUGGGGGGAUAACAGUUGGAAACGGCUGCUAAUACCCCGUACGCUCUUGGUAUCGCAUGGUACCUUGAGGAAAGCUCCGGCGCACAGGGAGGGGUCUAUGUCCGAUUAGCUAGUUGGUGGGGUAACGGCCUACCAAGGUUACGGUCGGUAGGCGGACUGAGAGGUUGGCCGCCCUGACUGGGACUGAGACACUGCCCAGACUCCUACGGGAGGCAGCAGUCUGGAAUAUUGCGCAAUGAGCGAAAGCUUGACGCAGCGACGCCGCGUGCGGGAAGAAGGCCUUCAGGGUCGUAAACCGCUGUCAGGAGAAAAGAAAAGCUUCGGCUUUGACUUACUCCAGAGGAAGUUCAGGCUAACUCCGUGCCAGCAGCCGCGGUAAUACGGAGUGAGCGAGCGUUGUUCGGAAUUACUGGGCUUAAAGGGCGCUAAGGCGGGAAGGCCAGUCCGGGUUGAAAGCCCUCGGCUCAACCGAGGAAUUGGCCCGGAUACGACCUUUCUUGAGGCUGGGAGAGGAGAGUGGAACUUCCGGUGGAGCGGUGAAAUGUGUAGAUAUCGGAAGGAACGUCGGUGGCGAAAGCGGCUCUCUGGACCAGUCCUGACGCUGAUGUGCGAAAGCUAGGGGAGCAAACAGGAUUAGAUACCCUGGUAGUCCUAGCUGUAAACGAUGGGCACUAGAGGGCGGGCGAAUGCUCGCUCUCGUAGCGAAAGCGUUAAGUGCCCCGCCUGGGGAGUACGACCGCAAGGUUGAAACUCAAAGGAAUUGACGGGGGCUCACACAAGCGGUGGAGCAUGUGGUUCAAUUCGAAACAACGCGCAGAACCUUACCCGGGUUUGACAUGGCUGCCCUUCGCGGGGUCCUGAACCGAAAGGGGAAGGGGUUAUGGGGGGAGACCCCCAUGACUAGUUACAGGUGUUGCAUGGCUGUCGUCAGCUCGUGCCGUGAGGUGUCAGGUUAAGUCCUCGAACGAGCGAAACCCUUACUGCUAGUUGCCAGCGGAUAAUGCCGGGGACUCUAGCGGGACUGCCUCGAAAGACGGAGGAAGGUGGGGACGACGUCAAGUCAUCAUGGCCCUUAUACCCGGGGCUACACACGUGCUACAAUGGUCGAUACAAAGGGAAGCCAGACCGCGAGGUUGUGGAGCAAAUCCCAAAAAAUCGGCCCCAGUACGGAUUGGAGGCUGCAAUUCGCCUCCAUGAAGCCGGAAUCGCUAGUAAUCGGAGAUCAGCUACGCUCCGGUGAAUAUGUUCCUGAGCCUUGUACACACCGCCCGUCUAGCCACCUAAAUGGGGGGUACCCGAAGUCCGUAGCCUAACCUCGUGAGGGCGCGGCCGAAGGUAAACUCCGUGAGGGGGACUAAGUCGUAACAAGGUA